rnacentral:lncRNA from 1 species
AGCCCUUUGGAUGGCAAGAAAAUUGCUGAGUAGCUGGUUUCCAGGUUGCCGAGGUCCUAGCCAGGGCCUGGCGCGGCUGCCAGAAGCAACAGGCUUGGAAUUUCCUCUGCCUGGUGCCAGCUCUGCUCGGGCUGCCGCAGCACCUCUGUGGGGCCGGGGCUCCUCGCGGGCCCUGCGGACGGGGUUACGCUCAGAGCUGAGCGCUGCCCCCUCGUCCUCGGUGCCUGGUUUCUAUUUUCUUUUCCAGGGUCCAAGCUGUUUUGAAUUAUGCAGCCUGCGCCUCCCGCGGGGCUCCUUGAGCAGCCGCCUAAUGAGCUGAGCUCCUGACAAACUUUGCUCUGGCUCUGGCUAUGCUUGGAAAAUUUUACAGCCUUUUCAGAAAAAGGAAAUGCCAGGAAAGGCCUGUCUCUUCUUAUUUUUAUGAGGGGGUCCCGGUUGAGAGAGGACCGAGAUGGGCUUGGAAGAGAAGACAGGAAUGGUUUUGAAUACUGUGCUGGGCGCUCCCCCUCCCCGCCGCACGCUUUCUAGUGAUGGGUGUGAGGCUGGUGUGGUCCUUCCUUCCCCAGCACGGCUGUGCACAGCGUGGGGUGAGACCUGCAGGCUGCACUGUGAGCACAGGGAGGUGGCAAAGAGGUGGCAAGUGUGAAUGGUGAUGGAUGGAGGCCAACUCUCCUCGCCCCACUGCUGGCUGCCUGCUCCCAGCGCUGUUCCCAUCCCCAGGCUCGACAGCAGAACCUGGCACCGAGUGCCAAUUUCUGCCCUUCCGGCUCUGGUUAAAGGAUUCUGCUGGUGGAAAGCGUGUGGGGACCAGAUCUGAGGCACUGUCACCUGGGAGGGCCAAGGCAUCCGAGCUGGCAUGCCAGCAUCUAUCAGUGCCCCAUCUGCAAGGAAGUGCUGGGCUGCAUCUUUCCUCCCAGCUGCUGGCGCAGUUACUGGCCGUUUAAUAUUUGCUAAUUGUAUUUUUCUGAAUGUCACUGUCUGUUUCUGCUGUGGGAGCAGGCAGAGGCUCCUCCUGCACAGGGAUGUGCUGCACGUCAGUGCACGAGGCUGUGCAGGAAGGGCAGCAGCACGGUGACGUCUGAGCAGGACCCAGAGGAACAGGGAAGCGGGAGUGAAGGUGCUGCUGGCUCCUGUAAUCUGCAAGGGAUGGCCCUGCUGAAUUCACCCCCUUUGGCUGAGGAACUGCAUUACAGUGAGAGAAACUGGGGCACAACACAAGCUGUGACUUUGCCCACCCCCAUCAUAACCCUCUUCUUACGAUCAGCAGAACCCUGUGGCCAAAGCAUAGGGCCAGUGUGGAUCCCGUGGUCUGGAAUCUUGGCCAAGGCGUUCUGUGUGCUUCUGUGUUGGUGGGGCAGGGGCUCGCCCUCCUCUCAGCCACGGGUUAGCUUCUUAGCCUGCCUCCUCUGUGCGUGCUCUGAUCUGAAUGCUGCUUCCAUGUCCCUAAUGGUCAAAGUCAUCCGUCUUUGGGGACAGAGCUGGGGGUGUUGGUUGGAAUAUGUAAAACUGCUGCUUGCCUGGGGAGCUGUAGAGCUUCUCCAGUGGGAGGGACCGAGAUUUCUGUGUGAUCCGUAGGCAUCAGCUGCUGCCAGUCAUAGUCAAUGAGCAUCAGAUGUGGGCAGUGAUUGCCCUGGGUAGAAGGAGCCCUGCGCCAGCCCUGCUUUGAGGGCUUGGCCUGCUCUGUCUGUCAGGAGGGUGGCUCUGGAUCGCUAUUUGAUUUGGCAGCCUGUGCAGGCCUGGCAGCCCUAAGAGUGGGAUGCGGGCACCAGAACCGUGCACUCCUCUCCCUUUUCUUUGUCACUCCUCCCAUCGCCUGUUUUCUGCUGCAUUGGGCAGGAGAAAGCACCUCCCUGGGGCUGCAUCCCCUCCUCCACCUGGAAAAUGACUGAUAAGUCCUGCUUCGUUUCGCAGGGCUCACGGGCAGAAGUGGAGAUUGUAUGUGACAAUAGAGGCCAAGCUCCUUUGCUUUGCUGCUCAGAGGCAUGGCUGUGGCACUGCUGCCCUUCGAGGUGCUGGAGGCUGCUGGGGGUUGUGGCCUUUGGCUCUGCUUAGGGACCUCUGAGCUUCAACUCAGAGAAAUUUCCACUUCCAGCGCUGGGUAUACUGUGAAGCUGGGUAUUCUGUGAAGCCUGGCUUCACAGCAGAGGUGCUGCAGCCCUCUGAGCAUCCUCGUGCCCUCCUCUGGACCCGCUCCAGCAGCUCCGCAUCCCUCCUGUCCUGGGGGCCCCAGGCCUGGGCACAGCACUGCAGGUGGGGCCUUCCAGGGGCAGAGCAGAGGGGCACAACCCCCUCCCUCUCCUCUCCCUGCUGCCACCCCUCUGUUGCUGCAGCCCAGGGGACUGUCGGCCUUCCGGGCUGCAGGCGCACACUGCUGCCUCAUGUCCCGCUUCUGUCCAUCGGGACCCCCAAG